rnacentral:rRNA from 1 species
AGGACGAACGCUGGCGGCGUGCUUAACACAUGCAAGUCGAGCGGUGAUCCUCCUUCGGGAGGUGAUCAGCGGCGAACGGGUGAGUAACACGUGGGCAACCUGCCCCUCACACUGGGAUAACCUCGGGAAACCGGGCUAAUACCGGAUACGACCUCGAGCGGCAUCUCUUGAGGUGGAAAGCUCCGACGGUGAGGGAUGGGCCCGCGGCCUAUCAGCUUGGUUGGUGGGGUAAUGGCCUACCAAGGCGACGACGGGUA